CCUACGGGUGGCUGCAGUGAGGAAUUUUGCGCAAUGGGGGAAACCCUGACGCAGCAACGCCGCGUGAGUGAUGAAGGCCUUCGGGUCGUAAAGCUCUGUCAAGUGGGAAGAAUCUGUCCGGUGAUAAUACCGCUGGGCAAUGACGGUACCGCUGAAGGAAGCACCGGCUAACUCCGUGCCAGCAGCCGCGGUAAUACGGGGGGAGCUAGCGUUAUUCGGGAGCACGGGGCGUAAAGGGCGCGUAAGCGGUGAAAGCCCUCGGCUUAACUGAGGAAGUGCAUUUGAUACUAAAAGACUUGAGUAUGGGAGAGGGAAGCGGAAUUCCUGGUGUAGCGGUGAAAUGCGUAGAUAUCAGGAGGAACACCGGUGGCGAAGGCGGCUUCCUGGACCAAUACUGACGCUGAGGCGCGAAGGCGUGGGGAGCAAACAGGAUUAGAUACCCUAGUAGUC
rnacentral:rRNA from 1 species